AAGUUGGGUGGUCAAAAGGGAAAGAGCCCAGACCUACAGCUAAGGUCCCAAAGUGCGUGUUAAGUGGAAAAGGAUGUGGGAUUUCAAAGACAACCAGGAUGUUGGCUCAGAAGCAGCCAUACAUUCAAAGAGUGCGUAACAGCUCACUGGUCGAGAGGUCCUGCGCCGAAAAUGUCCGGGGCUGAAACACGACACCGAAGCUUAGGAAUCACAUAGUGAUUGGUAGAGGAGCAUUCUUAAAACCGACGAAGCUGUACCGGAAGGAGCAGUGGAGGGAUAAGAAGAGAGAAUGCCGGAAUGAGUAGCGAGAGGAAGGUGGGAAUCCUUCCGGCCGAAUAUCUAAGGUUUCCAGAGUAAAGCUGAUCUGCUCUGGGUAAGUCGGGGCCUAAGGAGAGGUCGAAAGACGUAUCCGAUGGACAACAGGUUUAGAUUCCUGUACCACAUAUAAACAGAACUGUGGGGACGCAUGUGGAAAGCAUAAGCCGGGAAUGGAAAUACCGGUACAAACGGAAGAGGUGUCAGGCUGGCAAAUCCGCCUGGCAAGCCAAAGACGUGAUGUGGAGCGAAAUAAAAGUAGCGAAGUAUGUGAGCCAUGUGCCGAGAAAAGCCGCUAUUGUUUUAUAUGUGCCCGUACCGUAAACCGACACAGGUGGAUGAGGAGAGAAUCCUAAGGCCGACGGAAGAAGCAUUGUUAAGGAACUCGGCAAAAUGACCCCGUAACUUCGGGAGAAGGGGUGCCACAGAGAUGUGGCCGCAGAGAAUAGGCUCAAGCAACUGUUUAGCAAAAACACAGGUCUAUGCGAAACCGAAAGGUGAGGUAUAUGGGCUGACGCCUGCCCGGUGCUGGAAGGUUAAGAGGAGAGGUUAGAGCAAUCGAAGCUUUGAAUUUAAGCCCCAGUAAACGGCGGCCGUAACUAUAACGGUCCUAAGGUAGCGAAAUUCCUUGUCGGGUAAGUUCCGACCCGCACGAAAGGCGUAAUGAUUUGAGCGCUGUCUCGACAAUGCAUCCGGUGAAAUUGAAGUACCAGUGAAGAUGCUGGUUACCCGCGCCAGGACGGAAAGACCCCAUGGAGCUUUACUCCAGUUUGGUACUGGGAUUCGGUACUGCAUGUACAGGAUAGGUGGGAGACUGAGAAAUUGGAACGCCAGUUUCAAUGGAGUCACUGUUGGGAUACCACCCCUGCAGUAUUGGGUUUCUAACCAGCCGCUGUGAUCCAGCGGUGGGACAAUGCCAGGCGGGGAGUUUGACUGGGGCGGUCGCCUCCGAAAGGGUAUCGGAGGCGCUCA
rnacentral:rRNA from 1 species